UUGCCUACGGGGGGCAGCAGUGGGGAAUAUUGCACAAUGGGGGAAACCCUGAUGCAGCGACGCCGCGUGAACGAGGAAGGUCUUCGGAUCGUAAAGUUCUGUUGAAGGGGAAAAAGAGCGGAGAGAGGAAAUGGUCUCCGAUUGAUAUUACCCUUCGAGGAAGUCACGGCUAACUACGUGCCAGCAGCCGCGGUAAUACGUAGGUGGCGAGCGUUAUCCGGAAUGAUUGGGCGUAAAGGGUGCGUAGGCGGCCUGCUAAGUCUGGAGUGAAAGGUACCGGCUCAACCGGUACAGGCUCUGGAAAC
rnacentral:rRNA from 1 species